CGACAGAGAAAGAAUUUUAGGAGGCCAUGCUAAGCAUACCCCAAAAGCAAAACGUCCUGUACCAUUUCCCAGAUGAAGCCUUCAGUCUCCGCUCCUAGCCGAAAACCCUCUGGACCCCUCGACAGUGCUGUGUGUGCACCCGAGCUCCAAAGCCGCCACCUAGCUGAGCCCACUCUGUGCAGAUGUGGCAACUUCGGUGGAUGAGCGGAGAAACCUGAUGAGAAAAGUCUUGACGGUUUCUUCAGAAACUGGGAUAAUCCCUCAGGAAAUUCCUUCUGGAACAAAUAUUCUCCUCGUUGUCCGCCAGCACCAGUAGGUUCGUCUUCACAAAGCCUUGGCUGGAAUUGAAAUGCAAGAAUUCUUCACAGGGAAAGAACUUUCAUUUUAAUGUGGUGGUCUUUUAUAGUUAAAAUACUAGAAAUAUUUCCAUAAAUGUUAUAUGCUCUCCUUACCUUUCAUGAUCAAUACACUUUAAAAUUUAUAAAUUCCAACAAAUAAAUACAAGCUCCCCUGGAUGGCUUCCCGUGUUUCCCAUGGUAGUCGCUUUUCUGUCUUAGGAUUAGAAAGCUGAGUGGCGCCAUGGUGGUUGCCAGCCAAGUAUAACAGCACACCUAAAUACGAAUGAUUAAAAGUAUUAAGUUUGA